CUGAUAUUCAGUCGUGUUUUUUGAUAUUUUUGUUAUUUUGUAAUCGAGUACCUUUUUAAAGGUCUAAUGGCUCCCAUCAGGUGUUGUGUGCAGUCGGUUGAAAAAUUCAACGAGUAAACAUAUAUUUAAUCCAAAUUAAAUACUCAUAUUUCUAUGUAAAAUGUCACAUUAUUGUAUAAAUAAAUAAUUAAGAAACAAAA
rnacentral:lncRNA from 1 species